rnacentral:lncRNA from 1 species
UUAUACAAAUUGCAACAUAACUAUUGACUUCCAGUGUUCAACAUACAUGUCAAUCAUCUUAACACCUUGGCACACAUGAUCAAACAUAGGUUCGAAAUUAGUAUCGCAUCUUAGUAUUCCAAGCCCAAAAUCUAAAAACAUAUAAGGUUCCUUAUAAUGAAUGUAGAAUAUGUUACCCUAACUUCUUAAUCAUCUCCUCUAAAACAUCCAUAUUCAGUACAAGAAUGUUUACAUGAUCAAUGAAGUUAAUUUUUUCAUCUACAUAUUCCCGACUUGGAUUAUCAACAAAAUUACCUCCAUGGUGCACCCUCAUUGAAAAUUGUCUGUCAUUAUCAUCUUACAUAUCGCUUGGUUUGAAGUACUGAUCAUCACCUCUAAUCUUCCAUAAAUGAUGAUCCAUUCUACAACUCACUGAGAUUCAACUUCAAUUCGUUCACUUGGUACUGAUUUUGAUGAACAACGACCGUCUAUUUAAGAACUAGGU